rnacentral:pre_miRNA from 1 species
ACAACAUUCCGGCUGUCGGUCUACCGAGCAAUUUCACCAGCUCGGUGGAAGAUCUUCCCUUUGCCUU